rnacentral:rRNA from 1 species
CCAAUAGCGUAUAUUAAAGUUGUUGCAGUUAAAAAGCUCGUAGUUGAAUUUCGGGAUUAGUACGCUGGUCAUGCCUUCGGUAUGUACUGGUGUUACUGGUUCCUACCUUCUGACGAACCGUCAUGUCAUUAAUUUGGUGUGGCGGGGAAUCAGGACUGUUACUUUGAAAAAAUUAGAGUGUUUAAAGCAGGCUCGCGCUUGAAUACAUUAGCAUGGAAUAAUGAAAUAGGACGUUCGAUCCUAUUUUGUUGGUUUCUAGGAUUGACGUAAUGAUUAAUAGGGAUAGUUGGGGGCAUUAGUAUUCAAUUGUCAGAGGUGAAAUUCUUGGAUUUAUUGAAGACUAACUACUGCGAAAGCAUUUGCCAAGGAUGUUUUCAUUAAUCAAGAACGAAAGUUAGGGGAUCGAAGACGAUCAGAUACCGUCGUAGUCUUAACCAUAAACUAUGCCGACUAGGGAUCGGAUGAUGUUAAUUUUUUAAUGACUCAUUCGGCGCCUUACG